AACGAACGCUGGCGGCAUGCCUAACACAUGCAAGUCGAACGGGAUCCUGGUUUCGGCCAGGUGAGAGUGGCGGACGGGUGAGUAACGCGUGGGAACCUGCCCAGUGGUGGGGGAUAACUGCGGGAAACUGCAGCUAAUACCGCAUGAGCCCGAAAGGGGAAAGAUUGAUCGCCAUUGGAGGGGCCCGCGUUCGAUUAGGUAGUUGGUGAGGUAACGGCUCACCAAGCCUUCGAUCGANAGCUGGUCUGAGAGGAUGAUCAGCCACACUGGGACUGAGAUACGGCCCAGACUCCUACGGGAGGCAGCAGUGGGGAAUAUUGGACAAUGGGGGCAACCCUGAUCCAGCAAUGCCGCGUGAGUGAUGAAGGCCUUCGGUUGUAAG
rnacentral:rRNA from 1 species